GAAGCAGAAGCCGUCAUCAUCAUCUGUAACUCCAUCAAAACCAGCUGCUCCAACAGCUUCAACACCGAAAAAAGAGGAAAUCGGGACUCUUGAGACGUUCCUGAAGAAUAUAUUUGCAAAUUUAGAUGCAAAAGGGAAACUUUAUCAGGAGAAAAAGUUGAAAACUUUCGAUACGGAGACUUUAAAGGAGAUAACAACGUUUAUAGAUGUAAUGAAGCAUCAUAAAACUGAAAAAGUUAAUAUGGAACCGUUGAUUUAUUCGUUGGCGAAAUCAUUUGGAAUGACUACGCAAGAAGUUAUGAAACAG
rnacentral:sRNA from 1 species